UCAAUUCAUCGGUGGCUCCUUGUUCUUC
rnacentral:sRNA from 1 species